rnacentral:lncRNA from 1 species
AAAUAUUAAAAGCGUUUUCUAGGAUCACUACCAAACACUCUUAAUUUGAUAUCUAUCACACAAUAAGUUCACACCACUCAUAUACAACAACAAUCAAGACUGCACCAUUUAUCCUCAUCUUCAUGCUUACUCUUCCUUGGUUUGACACUUUUUGCACCAAAUGGAUCUCCCAUUGAUGGUAAAUUUAACUUCAUUUCUACCUGGAAUCAAACAGGUAGGACCAAUAGCUCAAACACCAUCUUACCAAAUAAUGGGGUCCCUUUCUGCUCUCCUGCGCAUGUAUCAUUAUGAAAUUAAUAUAAUGCAAAUAAAUAAUAAGGUGAGAAAAAAAAAAGAGGAAAAUGAAAAAAAAAUAAUAAUAAUAGUAAUAACCAUUUAACAAAUCUCAUAAUAAUGAAGAGGAAACAAGAAUCAGAACAUAUUAGGAAAUAUUUUGUAACAUACAAAGAACUAAGUGAUUCUAUACUUUCCACGGAUGAUAUGAAAAUGGAAAAAAAAAAUAACAAAAAAAGGUGUGGCAUUUGUUUUGACUUUACAAAUGGUUGGGAAAAACCUAAUAAACAAGGGAAAACCAAAAAGAAAAUGAUGAAAGCAAAGAAAACCAUAGAGAAACUUUAUGGUCAGAUUUGAUCAUAAAAAAUGAAAAAAAAAAUAGUUAAGAAAAGAAAGAAAGAGGAAAACAAAUUUGAGCCAAUAAAGUUUUCAUCCACCUUUCCUACAUGAUCAUUCACUUUAAAUAUAAAAUCAAGAGUUUGAAAAUGUAUGCACUACUACUCAUUGUAUAUCUUUCAUCCUUACCUUUUUCUUGUCAUAAGUAGACAUUAAAGAAUGGGUAAUCUAUUUUGACUUUCUCUCUUUAUUUUCUCAUAUUUUUUAAGAUGCAAAUGAAUCCCUCAAGCUUUUUAAAACCCAAAGAAAACCUAAAUAAUAAAUAUAAACAAAGGGGAUUCUAACAUUAAUAGAAGUGUUGAGUGUAGUGCAAAUGCCUCAAACUAGCAUCAAUUUCAUGAUUUGAGGCCAAAAUUUGCCAUAAAAUAGGAAUCAAAUAUGUUAGAAUGGCAUGUCAAUUACUUUCUCUUACAUCAAAUUUUUUUUUCCUACAAUUGAUAAAAUCUUUCAAAUGCUUACCUAGGAAAAACCCCAAAAAUUGGGGAAUGGUUCUCAAUAAAUCCGUUGAAGAUGAUGAAAAGAGACAUCUUCUCUUCCUCCAUUGGAGAUGAUGAAAAACAAUUUCCUCUCUUCACCUAACAACUACAACUGCUAGACUAAAAGAAGAUAAAGUCUGAGCCACCUUUAAAUUAAAAGUAAUGUCUAAAGAAAAUUUCUUGAUUUGUGUAGAAGGUGCUGAUAAGAGAAUAUUUGCUCCUUUUUUUAUAGAAGAAAAG